GACGAACGCUGGCGGCGUGCUUAACACAUGCAAGCCGAACGGUAAGGCUCCAGCUUGCUGGGGUACACGAGUGGCGAACGGGUGAGUAACACGUGGGUGACCUGCCCUGCACUUCGGGAUAAGCCUGGGAAACUGGGUCUAAUACCGGAUAGGACCGCACCGUGAGGGUGUGGUGGAAAGUUUUUUCGGUGUGGGAUGGGCCCGCGGCCUAUCAGCUUGUUGGUGGGGUAAUGGCCUACCAAGGCGGCGACGGGUAGCCGGCCUGAGAGGGUGGACGGCCACAUUGGGACUGAGACACGGCCCAGACUCCUACGGGAGGCAGCAGUAGGGAAUAUUGCACAAUGGGCGGAAGCCUGAUGCAGCGACGCCGCGUGGGGGAUGACGGCCUUCGGGUUGUAAACUCCUUUCACCAUUGACGAAGGGUUUCUGACGGUAGACGGAGAAGAAGCACCGGCUAACUACGUGCCAGCAGCCGCGGUAAUACGUAGGGUGCGAGCGUUGUCCGGAAUUACUGGGCGUAAAGAGCUCGUAGGUGGUUUGUCGCGUCGUCUGUGAAAUUCCGGGGCUUAACUCCGGGCGUGCAGGCGAUACGGGCAUAACUUGAGUACUGUAGGGGAGACUGGAAUUCCUGGUGUAGCGGUGAAAUGCGCAGAUAUCAGGAGGAACACCGGUGGCGAAGGCGGGUCUCUGGGCAGUAACUGACGCUGAGGAGCGAAAGCAUGGGGAGCGAACAGGAUUAGAUACCCUGGUAGUCCAUGCCGUAAACGGUGGGCGCUAGGUGUGGGUUUCCUUCCACGGGAUCCGUGCCGUAGCUAACGCAUUAAGCGCCCCGCCUGGGGAGUACGGCCGCAAGGCUAAAACUCAAAGGAAUUGACGGGGGCCCGCACAAGCGGCGGAGCAUGUGGAUUAAUUCGAUGCAACGCGAAGAACCUUACCUGGGCUUGACAUAUACAGGAUCGCGCCAGAGAUGGUGUUUCCCUUGUGGCUUGUAUACAGGUGGUGCAUGGUUGUCGUCAGCUCGUGUCGUGAGAUGUUGGGUUAAGUCCCGCAACGAGCGCAACCCUUGUCUUAUGUUGCCAGCACGUUGUGGUGGGGACUCGUAAGAAACUGCCGGGGUUAACUCGGAGGAAGGUGGGGAUGACGUCAAAUCAUCAUGCCCCUUAUGUCCAGGGCUUCACACAUGCUACAAUGGUCGGUACAGUGGGUUGCCAGUCCGUGAGGGCGAGCUAAUCCCGCAAAGCCGGUCUCAGUUCGGAUCGGGGUCUGCAACUCGACCCCGUGAAGUCGGAGUCGCUAGUAAUCGCAGAUCAGCAACGCUGCGGUGAAUACGUUCCCGGGCC
rnacentral:rRNA from 1 species